UAGGGAAUCUUCCACAAUGGACGCAAGUCUGAUGGAGCAACGCCGCGUGAGUGAAGAAGGCUUUCGGGUCGUAAAACUCUGUUAUUGAAGAAGAACGUGUGUGACAGUAACUGGUCAUGCAGUGACGGUAUUCAAUCAGAAAGUCACGGCUAACUACGUGCCAGCAGCCGCGGUAAUACGUAGGUGGCAAGCGUUGUCCGGAUUUAUUGGGCGUAAAGCGAGUGCAGGCGGUCUUUUAAGUCUGAUGUGAAAAGCCUUCGGCUUAA
rnacentral:rRNA from 1 species